GGAGGUACAGCUGAGUGGUAGAGGGCGUGCCUAGCAGGCACAAGGUCCUGGGUUCAAUCUCCAGCACCUCCA
rnacentral:tRNA from 1 species